rnacentral:rRNA from 1 species
GGCCUUGACAUACUAAGAACUUUCCAGAGAUGGAUUGGUGCCUUCGGGAACUUUAGAUACAGGUGCUGCAUGGCUGUCGUCAGCUCGUGUCGUGAGAUGUUGGGUUAAGUCCCGCAACGAGCGCAACCCUUUUCCUUAUUUGCCAGCGGGUAAUGCCGGGAACUUUAAGGAUACUGCCAGUGACAAACUGGAGGAAGGCGGGGACGACGUCAAGUCAUCAUGGCCCUUACGGCCAGGGCUACACACGUGCUACAAUGGUCGGUACAAAGGGUUGCUACCUCGCGAGAGGAUGCUAAUCUCAAAAAGCCGAUCGUAGUCCGGAUCGCAGUCUGCAACUCGACUGCGUGAAGUCGGAAUCGCUAGUAAUCGCGGAUCAGAAUGCCGCGGUGAAUACGUUCCCGGGCCUUGUACACACCGCCCGUCACACCAUGGGAGUUUGUUGCACCAGAAGUAGGUAGUCUAACCGCAAGGAGGACGCUUACCACGGUGUGGCCGAUGACUGGGGUGAAGUCGUAACAAGGUAAGCGUAGAUGA